AGAGCGCUUGAAUGGCAUUCAAGAGGUAGUCGGUUCGAUCCCGAUCAUCUCCACCA
rnacentral:tRNA from 1 species